GACCGGUAUAAGGUGUGCCGGUCUGAGAAGUACCGUUAUGAGGAGAAAUACAUGGCACAGGGGACCGUCAAGUGGUUCAACGCUGAAAAGGGCUUCGGCUUCAUCACUCCGGAUGAUUCCGAGGGCGAUGUUUUCGUUCACUACUCUGAGAUCCAGACCGGUGGAUUCAAGACCCUGGACGAGAACCAGCGCGUGAGCUUCGAAAUCGGCCAGGGCGCCAAGGGCCCCCAGGCCACGGGCGUGACCGUCAUCUAGUCCCGCAAUAGCUUCCGGCGCUCAGCCGGCCAGCAGGCAGCCUCCCGGCGCACCGGGAGGCUGCCUC
rnacentral:other from 1 species